CUCAAGUAUACAUUUGUCAUAAGCCAGUAUCUCUGUGUAGAUUGAUCUUGGGAAACAAACAAUUACAUGACUGCCACUGCUAAGCUUUCUCUCUGUAUUUGCAUUGCAUCCGUAAUAUUUGAGAGUACCAGCACUUUCAGAAAAUAUGCCAGAGGAUAUUAAGCAAGAAAUCUUGAAGGAAAAAAGAAUGGCUAGAUGGAAAGGUAUUGCCCCCUGCAAAAUAGAGAGAAAUGUAAAGGAGAUUGGUGUAAAGGGAAGAGGAUCUUUGUAGCACGUGUCAGAUUUGGGAUAUUCAUCAGUUGGGGACCAGACUCACCAAGAAAAG